CGUUGCUCUAGGGAGAGGAAAUGGGUCGUUCCAACAAAAGCACCUUCCCCAGAGGCUUUACCAGGGGAUGGCCUCACCAUUGCUGAGCAUCCCCUGAACCCCGAGCAUCGAUUAGCACAGCUCGAGGGGAGAAGGAGACAGGUCUUGAAGCACUGAAGGAAAGAAAAGAAUGUGUUCCUUGACUGCUUUGAGGUUGUAAGUGAUGUUGGAGUCAAGGGCACUUCUAUGUUUGAUGUGGUAUUUGCUUCCUGUCAUGCAUUCUUGCAUAUUAUUUCUGUGCCCUGUUAUCUCGCUGAUGUGGUUCGCUCAAGGAGUGGUCGAAACGCGGCUCUGACCGUGUGUCACCACCAACAAGUUCAUUUGCCUCUGUAGGAGGAGGAAAAUAACAAUAAUAAAAAAUAAAAACAGUAAUAAAAAAAUAAAAACAAUAAUAAAAAAUCCAGGCUGCCUCAUAACUGUGUGCUGAGCACAUGUGCCUCUCUGAGCACAUGUUGUUGUGAGAUUUUUUUCUUUUUUUCUUCUUUCCCCUUCCACCUACCUUUGCAACCCAGCAACCUGCAAGAGUUUGGUUCAGCUGCAAGUGCCUGCUUUUCAUGGGAAAGGUGUUUGUGCACAGCAUAGCUGGGAGCCCUCCUAGGCAGGGGGCUGUCAGGACAACCAGCAGCUGGGUUGUGGCUCUUCAGACCUUAUUUUACUUCCGUAAUAUUUCUUUAAAUCUCAUAAGAUUGUUAAAGUAAAAGCAAUGCCUUCAGUAAAAUGAGAUUUGCUUUCAGACUGGACAUAGAAAAGAGAAAAAAAAUUCAAACCCACAAGUGCUCCCAGGCAGGAGCUGGUGGGACCUUCUCAUCACUCCCAUCAAAAGUGGCAUCUGGUCCUUUUUAUGUAGCUGCCCUCCUGUACCAUCACAUCCCCAAAUGCCAGCCAACAUCCACAUCACACUUCAACUGUCCCACUGGGCAAGGACCCUCUUCUUCUGCCAAGGAAGGGCAAAGACAGAAUGCAGCUUGCACCAGGAUGUUUAGUUGUGUUAUGAGCUUUUAUUUAAAAAGCACAUUUAUACAGCAAUAAUUUCGCAGAUACAAACUUCAAUUUUGUAUUCUACAAAAGUCUUUGAAUAUUCUUCUCUUUACAAAAUGGAACAUUACAAAAAUACAGACAAUUUAAUAUGUUUUUUUUAUACAAAUGUCUCUAAUUGUAGUUAUUUUCAUUAAAAUAUUACUACCACAGAACUACAAUAUUUUAGUCGACUAUAAAAAAAUUAAUUCAAUGCUUUUUUAAGCAGCAAAAUGUAAAUAACACAGGUCAGGACACAGUUUAUAGUCAUAGUGGAUAUAUCUAAAAUUGUUUCAGAAAUAAUAUUUUACAUAGUUAAUUUUUAAGGUUUUAUACAUUAUUUAUAUAAUAUUUAUAAUAUAAAAAAAAAAUCAUAGCUUGCUAUAAGUUGAAAUGAUAGGACGGAUUCUGUGAGAAGGAUGUGCAAAUGGCCGUUCUGCGUGUUCUGCGGGAUCCCUUUGCAAAUGCGCUUCGUGGAAGGGCUGCAAACCAAGCACCUGUGGCUUCUGGGCAAAAAAAAAAUGUCAUCAUCACACCCGAGAGAGGCACAGCUGAUUUCCCACCGGAGUGACCCAGCGGAGCACAGGACCUGGUACUGCCAUGGCGCACCCCGGGGUGGCCAGGGAGGAGGAGGAGGAGGAGGAGGAGGAGGAGAGGAGGGGAUGCACAAACGGACUGACACCCAGGCCGGGACGUGCCGCCCAGCAGCCCGUCCCAAAACUGCAGAAUAAAAGUUUCCCCAGGACUCAGCCCCGGGGUCGUAGUGCGAACGAGUCUUCGGCAGCGCCGCCGCUCCCCUGGCACAAACCGCCGGCUCCCGCGGGCGGGCGCGCACGAAACCUGCUGGGAUUCUUCUCUGGGGGAAAGGGGACGGCUGGGAAGUGGAGGAUGCUCUUUUCAUUUAGGGGGGCUCGGGUGGGAUGAGCCUUCGCCAGGGAGCGAGCGGGAAGGAAGAAAUGUGGCUUCUCUGUGCGGAGGAAGGAGCUCUCCGGCCUCACUGCGCGUCUCGGGCCGCUCGUUAAAGGCGUGUAGUGUGAGCAGAGAGAGCAGAGACCCUUUGGAGACCCUGGACUGGGCAAGCUUCUUCUAAAUUAAGUCACAGUAUGGAAGAGAGGAGGCAAAAAUAAACUAGGAUCAAGAAGAGAAAAAA